UCCGUGUUUAAUCCACUUGUCAUAAACCAGGUCCUGAGAUGACCACAUGCAACCAAGACAAAGCAUCUCUCAUCGGAGGACAGGAGUCACUCCGGAUGGAUGCCGGCUGAGAAUACCUUCUCCCUGCUGCUGUUUUCCUGGGACAGAAAAUGAAAACUGAAUGAAUUGAACAAUAGGAUUUGUUUUGACUAUGGAUAUUUUCAUGUACGCUGUGACUAAUAGCCUAAUUAUUUUCCUUUUUCUCUUGUCAUUUUUUGUUGUCGUUCUUUCUAGCAAUUAACCUUUAGGACUUUCAGCCUCAAUUUAAACAAAUAGUGAGAAAGGUAGUGGCAAUAUUAAUUGGAGCUGAACCACUGGUAGACAAACAACGAUUCUGAAGUGAUUUUGUAUAUAAUGGUUAUACUGCUUUUAAUGUUGAGGCUUCAGCCCUUCUGUAUCUUUAAGAAGAAGCGGGCAGCUCUUACUUCUCCAGGUCAUGCCUCGUUAUAUAGCUUCGUGUAGUAUUAAGCACAUUGUGGGGAAUUCACCAACUGUGCAUCCCAAGGAUGAUGAAAGGGAAGGAAACUGAACCAAUGAAAAAGCAUCCUGGGGG